GAACGCUGGCGGCAGGCCUAACACAUGCAAGUCGAGCGGAUGAAGAGAGCUUGCUCUCUGAUUCAGCGGCGGACGGGUGAGUAAUACAUCGGAACGUGCCCAAUCGUGGGGGAUAACGUAGCGAAAGCUACGCUAAUACCGCAUACGAUCUACGGAUGAAAGCGGGGGAUCGCAAGACCUCGCGCGAAUGGAGCGGCCGAUGGCAGAUUAGGUAGUUGGUGGGGUAAAGGCUCACCAAGCCGACGAUCUGUAGCUGGUCUGAGAGGACGACCAGCCACACUGGGACUGAGACACGGCCCAGACUCCUACGGGAGGCAGCAGUGGGGAAUUUUGGACAAUGGGCGCAAGCCUGAUCCAGCCAUUCCGCGUGCAGGAUGAAGGCCUUCGGGUUGUAAACUGCUUUUGGACGGAACGAAAAGCUACUUUCUAAUACAGAGUGGUCAUGACGGUACCGUCAGAAUAAGCACCGGCUAACUACGUG
rnacentral:rRNA from 1 species